GACGAACGCUGGCGGCGUGCUUAACACAUGCAAGUCGAACGGUAAGGCCCUUCGGGGUACACGAGUGGCGAACGGGUGAGUAACACGUGGGUGAUCUGCCCUGCACUUUGGGAUAAGCCUGGGAAACCGGGUCUAAUACCGGAUAGGACCACUGCCUGCAUGGGUGGGGGUGGAAAGCUUUUGCGGUGUGGGAUGGGCCCGCGGCCUAUCAGCUUGUUGGUGGGGUGAUGGCCUACCAAGGCGACGACGGGUAGCCGGCCUGAGAGGGUGACCGGCCACACUGGGACUGAGAUACGGCCCAGACUCCUACGGGAGGCAGCAGUGGGGAAUAUUGCACAAUGGGCGCAAGCCUGAUGCAGCGACGCCGCGUGAGGGAUGACGGCCUUCGGGUUGUAAACCUCUUUCAGCACCGACGAAGCGCAAGUGACGGUAGGUGCAGAAGAAGGACCGGCCAACUACGUGCCAGCAGCCGCGGUAA
rnacentral:rRNA from 1 species